rnacentral:rRNA from 1 species
UACGAAGGGGGCUAGCGUUGCUCGGAAUCACUGGGCGUAAAGCGCACGUAGGCGGCUUUUUAAGUCAGGGGUGAAAUCCUGGAGCUCAACUCCAGAACUGCCUUUGAUACUGAGAAGCUUGAGUCCGGGAGAGGUGAGUGGAACUGCGAGUGUAGAGGUGAAAUUCGUAGAUAUUCGCAAGAACACCAGUGGCGAAGGCGGCGAUCUGGGUCGAUACUGACGCUGAGGUGCGAAAGCGUGGGGAGCAAACAGG